GAUGAACGCUGGCGGCGUGCCUAAUACAUGCAAGUCGAGCGAACAGACGAGGAGCUUGCUCCUCUGACGUUAUCGGCGGACGGGUGAGUAACACGUGGAUAACCUACCUAUAAGACUGGGAUACCUUCGGGAAACCGGAGCUACUACCGGAUAAUAUCUUGAACCGCAUGUUUCAAUAGUUACAGACGGUUUUGCUGUGCCUUAUAGAUGGUUCCGCGCCGCAUUAGCUAGUUGGUAAGGUAACGGAUUACCAAGGCAAGGAUGCGUAGCCGAUCUGAGAGGGUGAGCGGCCACACUGGAACUGAGACACGGUCCAGACUCCUACGGGAGGCAGCAGUAGGGAAUCUUACGCAAUGGGCGAAAGCCUGACGGAGCAAAGCCGCGUGAGUGAUAAAGGUCUUCGGAUCUUAAAUCUCUGUUAUUAGGGAAGAACAAUUGUGUAAGUAACGAUGCACGUCUUGACGGUACCUAAUCAGAAAGCAACGGCUAACUACGUG
rnacentral:rRNA from 1 species